GGGGAUGUGGCUCAGUGGUAAAGUGUUUGCCUAGCAAGCAGGAGACCCUGGGUUUGAUCCUCAGCACCACAA
rnacentral:tRNA from 1 species